rnacentral:rRNA from 1 species
UCCGUCGCGACAGGCGGGACGGUGGUCAUGGAAGUACGAAAUCCGCUAAGAAGCGUAGUAAAAACGUACCCGCCCAACGGAUCCGGCCCCGAAAAUUGAUGGCGCUCGAACGCAACCCUCGAACCCCGCCGACGGAGGCGUAGGGGACGGCCCCGUCGAGUAGGCGGACGCGCGGGUCGCUUCGACGCUCUCGCGCGAGCGGGGCGGAGCGGCCCGUGGUGCAGAUCUUGGUGGUAGUAGCGAUCACCCAGGCGAGAACCCUGAGGGCCGAAGUGGAGAAGGGUUUCUCGAGAACGGCACUCGCUCGAGAGUUAGUCGAUCCUAAGCUGCCGGCGGCAGCCACGAAACGGUCGAUCGGGCGCGAGCCCGGCAGCCACGACCGGGCAGCGAAAGGGAAUUGGGAACCUCCUUCCCAAACCCGGAACCGGAACGAGGGC